UGCUGCACCCCCUAUAGUUACGCCCCUGAAACAGCUUAUAGCUAGCUGUAUAGCUGUUUCAGAUAUAUGGUGAUGUGUAAUGGUAUUUAUAGAACAUAUAAAUGUGAAUGAAAGACACUCACUUGUUUCAGUAACUUCAGUAAACUUUUGUUAUUGUACAUCGCCUACAGUUAAACCUCAUUGGCAACUAAGCACUAUGUUAUUUGUGAUUAUUUUGUGACAGGCUGGAGUGAGAGCUGCCUGACAGAUCCCCAUGUCUGCAUGGAGCACCAUCAAAUACCCAGAGAAGAGGCCUAAGCACGUCACCUUUGACCUUAAUCCCCAUGUCUGCAUGGAGGACCAGCAAAUACCUAUGAAGAAGUCAGGAGAGAGGCCUGAGCACGUGAUCACCCUGGACAAGGCUCAGGACCAUUGGAACACCUUUGACCUGAGGUGGCUGGAGACCGUUGGGCCGGAUUGGCUCAGAAACGCAGAGGAGCUGACCCCAAAGGGGCAGAUGGACAUAUUAUCAAGUUUCCUGUAUACGGGGCACGCCAACACUCUGUUCACAAGAGUUGUUAACAGCAGACAGAAUGUUGGAGGGUAUUGCUAUGUCCAUUCCACAGUUCCGGCCGUCUUCUGACCAUGACAAUAUAGGAGGAGAGGGGAGGGGAUGGACAGAAGGGCUCUUGUGGAAACUUGCAAAGUAGACUUAAGAGGGUAUAGUUAGUUAGUCCAUUUGAACUAUGCACAGUAUAGUGAUAAGGUGAUUUCUUGUUUUCUGUAGGGCGUACUUUAAUGAAAUAUACUACAAAUAUAAUUUUUAAAAAUAUGCAAAGAGCAUACAGCCUCUGUGGUGUAGCUUUUAACAUACCAAAGCAGGCUUCAGUGCAACAUAGGUGUACUGUUUUGUGAACAUAUGUAAACAUCAAUGGAUUUGUAAUUGUUUUUAGUGUAAGGGGAGCUUUAAAAUAACAAUCGCAAAAUGUAACUUGACAAUCAUAUCAAAUAUGGUGUGUAAUUUAGUAUAUGGCUUUAAAAAGUGUAUUUAAAGCAAACUUAAAUUUAACUGAAUUAAAAAUUAAAAAUUAAAAGUUACCUCACAUAAAAGUACAUUUUUGUAUCACCAGACCAAAGAAUGUUUUGUCAAUAUUCAUCAUGCUUCUCUUUGUGUUCCUUGGCAAAGUUUAAUCAUGCAGUUUUGUGAGCAAAGGUUUUCUUUGUGAGCGCUGGCCAUAGAGGUUGUCAUAGAGCGCUGGCCAUACAGUUUCAAAGGCACCUACCCAUCUGUAAAUAGGCAUCUUCCCCUCAGUCGUCACCUUCUGUUAUUGGCUGUAUGGCUAUUGCUAUACCAUCUAACAACUGCUGGAGCUAUUUUGGCUCAUAUUGAGGAUCAUACUGAUGGUCUUGUGCCUUCUCUGGUUUCCGACCUGCACUUAAGCAAUUGUCAUGUCAUAACAAGAAGUUCCUUACCAUAUGGAGCCAUCUUGCAGUUAGACACAACCCAGGCUAAAGUUCAGAAAGAUGCGGUGUUCACAAGUUAUUUUACAGUCUUCUGCAUGCAAUGAGCCUUAACUGGGAACAAAUGUAAUCACUUUUUUUCUGCAGUGAUCACAAGUAAACAGACUUUUGUUGCAGUGUUCUCAAGUGUACUCAUCGCAUUGCAUUUAAUAUUUUAAUAUAGCCAAACUGACCUAUUUGUUUUUAAUUGUACAUCAAGCCAAAUACAAUUUCGAUUUAAAAACAAUAUAAUGUUUCUAAAAUGAUCCAGUAUGGUUGAUAGGUUGGACAAAAAAAAAAAAUGUGUAUACAUUUUACUUGCAAUUAGUUGGGAAUAUACUUACAAAUUAAUAUAUAAAAUGAAAUGCACCAUAAUUGCAAUGUAGGUCAAUUCAAGAAGCAGGGAUGUACUGUAUACUAAAUGGGUCAGUAUUCAACAGUACAGUAUCAACAGUAUUCAACAUUUUAAUUAUACAUUGUCUAAGUAUCAUACUAGUUAGUGUUCCAAAAUAGUACUCUAAAGUUAUACUUAAAACACUACCUAAAUAUGGCUUAAAUAAUAUAUUUAAAUAGUAGUAUGUUGUUCCAAAAUCAUACAUGCUACAAGUAUAAUAUAAUAAAAACAUAAUACAAAUAUAUUUUCA
ensembl:lncRNA